GCGAGCGGCGGAUGGGUGAGUAACACGUGGGGAACCUGCCCCAUAGUCUGGGGAUACCACUUGGAAACAGGUGCUAAUACCGGAUAAGAAAGCAGAUCGCAUGAUCAGCUUUUAAAAGGCGGCGUAAGCUGUCGCUAUGGGAUGGCCCCGCGGUGCAUUAGCUAGUUGGUAAGGUAAAGGCUUACCAAGGCGAUGAUGCAUAGCCGAGUUGAGAGACUGAUCGGCCACAUUGGGACUGAGACACGGCCCAAACUCCUACGGGAGGCAGCAGUAGGGAAUCUUCCACAAUGGACGCAAGUCUGAUGGAGCAACGCCGCGUGAGUGAAGAAGGUUUUCGGAUCGUAAAGCUCUGUUGUUGGUGAAGAAGGAUAGAGGUAGUAACUGGCCUUUAUUUGACGGUAAUCAACCAGAAAGUCACGGCUAACUACGUGCCAGCAGCCGCGGUAAUACGUAGGUGGCAAGCGUUGUCCGGAUUUAUUGGGCGUAAAGCGAGCGCAGGCGGAAGAAUAAGUCUGAUGUGAAAGCCCUCGGCUUAACCGAGGAACUGCAUCGGAAACUGUUUUUCUUGAGUGCAGAAAAGGAGAGUGGAACUCCAUGUGUAGCGGUGGAAUGCGUAGAUAUAUGGAAGAACACCAGUGGCGAAGGCGGCUCUCUGGUCUGCAACUGACGCUGAGGCUCGAAAGCAUGGGUAGCGAACA
rnacentral:rRNA from 1 species